rnacentral:ncRNA from 11 species
GGUUUCCGUAGGUGAACCUGCGGAAGG